GACGUAGGAGGCGAGCGUUAUCCGGAUUCACUGGGCGUAAAGCGCAUGUAGGCGGUUGCACAAGUCCGUUGUUAAAGCCCCUGGCUCAACUGGGGGAGGUCAAUGGAGACUGUGCGACUUGAGGGCAAUAGAGGCACGUGGAACUCCCGGUGUAGCGGUGAAAUGCGCAGAUAUCGGGAGGAACACCAGUAGCGAAGGCAGCACUCUGGGACGUAACUGACGCUGAGACGCGAAAGCGUGGGGAGCGAACAGG
rnacentral:rRNA from 1 species